rnacentral:rRNA from 1 species
ACGGAAGAUCCAAGCGUUAUCCGGAAUUACUGGGCGUAAAGAGUUGCGUAGGUGGCAGAGUAAGUUAGUAGUGAAAGCGUGUGGCUCAACCAUAUACACAUUACUAAAACUGCUCAGCUAGAGAAUGAGAGAGGUAGCUGGAAUUCCCAGUGUAGGAGUGAAAUCCGUAGAUAUUGGGAGGAACACCGAUGGCGUAGGCAGGCUACUGGCUCAUUUCUGACACUAAGGCACGAAAGCGUGGGGAGCGAACGGGA